rnacentral:rRNA from 1 species
GUGGGGAAUAUUGGACAAUGGGCGCAAGCCUGAUCCAGCCAUGCCGCGUGAGUGAUGAAGGCCCUAGGGUUGUAAAGCUCUUUCACCGGUGAAGAUAAUGACGGUAACCGGAGAAGAAGCCCCGGCUAACUUCGUGCCAGCAGCCGUGGUAAUACGAAGGGGGCUAGCGUUGUUCGGAAUUACUGGGCGUAAAGCGCACGUAGGCGGGUAUUUAAGUCAGGGGUGAAAUCCCGGAGCUCAACUCCGGAACUGCCUUUGAUACUGGGUACCUAGAGUAUGGAAGAGGUAAGUGGAAUUCCGAGUGUAGAGGUGAAAUUCGUAGAUAUUCGGAGGAACACCAGUGGCGAAGGCGGCUUACUGGUCCAUUACUGACGCUGAGGUGCGAAAGCGUGGGGAGCAAACAGGAUUAGAAACCCUAGUAGUCC